GGCGCCUGAAGUCGGUGUCCUGAUGAAGAUCCAUGACAGGAUCGAAACCUCUUCCAGUUUCGGCUUGUGCGGGAGUAAAGCUUUCGCUCUCUCCACAGCCUCAUCAGGAAACCCACUUCAGGUCUCGACUGGAAGGUCGUUAAACUUCCCCUCUAAGCGGAGUAGAGGUAAAUACCUCCGUCCCACCCCGGGAGGAAAGGGGUGGGGACCCGGAACAGCUCUAGUUCCGGUCCUUUGGAGUCCAUUUCUCACGUUGGAGAUUCUCCUCGGAGAAGGGAGAUGGGGCCAGUCCCAGUUGGUUCGCUCUCGUAGUCACAGCCACUGGGGAACCUAGGCAGAUGGCUGGACGGAGUCUUAGUCCACUCCAGAGGACCUUGGGUUUCUAACCCCCAAGAGGUC
rnacentral:hammerhead_ribozyme from 1 species